CUUUAAGGCUGAUGAAGUGCUUGGCAAAUAUCUCGUGGCUACUGACAGAAAUCAGAAAGUCAAGAGGAGAAAUCUCAAAUCCCAGCCCAUGGGCCAUGCUGACCUGAUUACAGACAGCCCUAUAAGGGUCUUGAAUGCUUUCUAACACAGUCCAUACGGGAUGCAGCCUCAAGGAGGAUUACCAAGAAAGGGAAGGGACGCAAAACUUUGCCACUUGAUCUAUACAAGGAACUGGAAAUGGUUCCCUUGAGAAAGGGAAACUAUGAAGAGACAUGAUUGCUGUGUUCAGUGCCAUAAUG